rnacentral:tRNA from 1 species
ACACCGAUGGUGAAGUGGUUAUCAUGCUUGCCUUCCAUUAAUUUCGGUAGCAAGCGGCACGGGUUCGAUUCCCGUUCGGUGUA